AUUGAACGCUGGCGGAAUGCUUUACACAUGCAAGUCGAACGGCAGCACGGGGGCAACCCUGGUGGCGCGUGGCGAACGGGCGAGUAAUACAUCGGAACGUGCCCGGUCGUGGGGGAUAACGUAGCGAAAGGUACGCUAAUACCGCAUACGAUCUGAGGAUGAAAGCGAGGGACCUUCGGGCCUCGCGCGAUCGGAGCGGCCGAUGUCAGAUUAGCUAGUUGGUGAGGUAAAGGCCUACCAGGCCGACGAUCUGUAGCUGGUCUGAGAGGACGACCAGCCACACUGGGACUGAGACACGGCCCAGACUCCUACGGGAGGCAGCAGUGGGGAAUUUUGGACAAUGGGCGCAAGCCUGAUCCAGCCAUUCCGCGUGAAGGACGAAGGCCUUCGGGUUGUAAACUGCUUUUGUAUGGAAAGAAAAGGCUCUGGCUAAUACCUGGGGGUCAUGACGGUACCGUAAGAAUAAGCAACGGCUAACUACGUG
rnacentral:rRNA from 1 species